GACGAACGCUGGCGGCGUGCUUAACACAUGCAAGUCGAACGGAAAGGCCCUGCUUUUGUGGGGUGCUCGAGUGGCGAACGGGUGAGUAACACGUGAGUAACCUGCCCUUGUCUUUGGGAUAACUUCAGGAAACUGGGGCUAAUACCGGAUAGGAGCUCCUGCUGCAUGGUGGGGGUUGGAAAGUUUCGGCGGUUGGGGAUGGACUCGCGGCUUAUCAGCUUGUUGGUGGGGUAGUGGCUUACCAAGGCUUUGACGGGUAGCCGGCCUGAGAGGGUGACCGGCCACCUUGGGACUGAGAGACGGCCCAGACUCCUACGGGAGGCAGUAGUGGGGAAUAUUGCACAAUGGGCGGAAGCCUGAUGCAGCAACGCCGGGUGCGGAAUGCCGGCCUUCGGGUUGUAAACCGCUUUCGCCUGUGACGAAGCGUGAGUGACGGUAAUGGGUAAAGAAGCACCGGCUAACUACGUG
rnacentral:rRNA from 1 species